CAGAGACUUCUAAAUCUGUUGAUAUCUGCAAACUUUUCAUUUCUGGCAAGGGCAAAAACAUAAAUUUCUUUGACCUAAGUUUUUUGGUGUUCUCAAUGUUGUUUGCGAUAGGGAAUAAUUAAUAUGUGUGGGUUAGGAACUACUGUUGAGCUUUUAGUUUUUUCAAAUCUCCAUUUGAUAUUUUUCUUCAACGGCGGGAUUCAAUCGGAGAACCUCCACUUUGGUUGUAGAAUGAGAGUUAACGACUGUAUCAAGCAUUGUCAAAGCCACACAAGGAUUAUUGACAGGGUUGCACAGAUCAAGUCCACCUGCAAGAUAAUUUCAUUGGGGAUCAACAUAUGUCCUGUAGGGUUGGGCGGGCUCCUACGGGCACCCAACCCAGGGGCCAUUGAAUUUUAGUUCUUUGCAUCUUUCUUGAAACAGAAAACCGGGUGAUAACCAAGCUAAGGGCGAAGGAAGUUAAUGAAGUGGAUAUAGAAUCUCCAUAUUAUAUAUGGUUUGUUACUACUACAUAUCUAUUGACAUAAAUACUUAUGUUUGUUCGUAAAGAUAGUAUUGCAGAGCACUAGAGAGAUUAGUUAAGGUUCCUCUUUUCUCUGCUAAGUCAUUUUCUUUGUCCACUUCGUGUAUAUUAAUAUUUUGAUGUCUAAUUUCUUGAAUAAAUUCUGUAUGCCAUUAUUUUGAA